rnacentral:tRNA from 1 species
GAAACGGCAUACCAAAAAUUGAGCUUCUAACUCAAUUUAUUAGUGGUGUAAAUCCAUUAACGCUUCU